GGACCUCUAGAAGUACAAGGUGCACCGGGGUCGGAAACAAGUCCCGCAACAGCGUAGGCAGGCAAAGUGGAACGAGCAUCAGGUGCGCCCGACGCCAUGUCUACGCCAUUACGGUCGCCGCCCAAAUUAAACGGGGCGGGGCUAAACAUUUUAGCUAACUGAGAAGGGCCUACCCUAAUACAGCAAUGACGCAGUCACUGCCGCGGAUAGGGGGAGAGCUUGAAGUAGCUGCUCUACCUCAGUCGGGUCCAGCACACCCGUUCUAACCUCUGCAACAACAAUGAGCGAGGCAACCAAGGACAAAACAAUACAGAUGAU
rnacentral:lncRNA from 1 species